CCGCCUGGCCGCGGGAUUUCCGAGGUGAACCUGCUGGAAGGAUCAUUAAUGUUUAAGAUUCUCCUAGUGAGAUAUGUGACUACAAACUCAUCCUUUGGUUCUGUGGCUUGCUACAAAACCACUCAAUGGAGCUUGGCCAGUCUGCCUUGCUCUACACACAGAUCAGAGCGAUGUCGGUGUUCCAGUAAUGCCCUUUGCUCCCUGUGGCCAGAGUUUUCAGGUGCAGUGCCCCCAUGACUCAGUUAGGGGAUAAGGAAUUCAUUCUGAACUACAUAAGUACCUACGCCUGACUUCUUUGGUUUUGUGCUCACCCCGGUUUGGGAUGUGAAAACUGUUGUACUGUGUUUUCUCUUAAAAGCAGAAAUGCUUGCAACUAAGUGAAUAUAACACUCUACAGUGGAUCACUUGGCUCGGGGGUCGAUGAAGAACGCAGCUAACUGCGCGUCGGAAUGUGAACUGCAGGACAUGUGAGCAUCGACCUUUUGAACGCAUAUGGCGGAGUUAAAGUCCUUCUUUAACUCCAUGUUUUGCUCAGGGUCGUUUAACAUCCAUCCCUCUUGGGUUUCCAAGAGAGGCAUUGAGGUUUUGCAAUGCGUUCAGCAGUGCAUGCCUUUAAGUUGCAACUGCCUGUUAAACCAGAGGCUCUAGUGACUCUUGGGAUUCAUCCUGGGUUGCUUUGCUGACAGUUGGGCAGAGGUGAGUGCCAGACUAAGGCACCUACCAGCUACUUUACUUUUGACCUGAGAUAAAGCAAGAUUACCCGCCGAAUUUAAGCAUAUCAAU
rnacentral:rRNA from 1 species